rnacentral:rRNA from 1 species
AUACGUAGGUGGCGAGCGUUAUCCGGAAUUACUGGGUGUAAAGGGUGUGUAGGCGGGGAACCAAGUCAGAUGUGAAAAUUACGGGCUCAACCCGUAACCUGCGUCUGAAACUGGAUCUCUUGAGAGUGGGAGAGGUAAACGGAAUUCCUGGUGUAGCGGUGAAAUGCGUAGAUAUCAGGAGGAACACCGGUGGCGAAGGCGACUUUCUGGCUGACAACUGACGCUGAGGCGCGAAAGCGUGGGGAGCGAACAGGAUUAGAUACCCUGGUAGUCCACGCUGUAAACGAUGAUUACUAGGUGUAGGGGGUAUCGACUCCCUCUGUGCCGCAGUUAACGCAGUAAGUAAUCCACCUGGGGAGUACGGUCGCAAGAUUAAAACUCAAAUGAAUUGACGGGG